UACGUAGGUGGCGAGCGUUGUCCGGAUUUAUUGGGCGUAAAGGGAGUGUAGGCGGUCUUUUAAGUCUGAUGUGAAAGCCCACGGCUCAACCGUGGAGGGUCAUUGGAAACUGGGAGACUUGAGUGCAGAAGAGGAGAGCGGAAUUCCAUGUGUAGCGGUGAAAUGCGUAGAUAUAUGGAGGAACACCAGUGGCGAAGGCGGCUCUCUGGUCUGUAACUGACGCUGAGGCGCGAAAGCGUGGGGAGCAAACAGGAUUAGAUACCCCAGUAGUCC
rnacentral:rRNA from 1 species